UACGAAGGGGGCGAGCGUUGUUCGGAUUUACUGGGCGUAAAGGGCGCGUAGGCGGCAUGACAAGUCACUUGUGAAAUCUCUGGGCUUAACCCAGAACGGCCAAGUGAUACUGUCACGCUAGAGUGCAGAAAGGGCAAUCGGAAUUCUUGGUGUAGCGGUGAAAUGCGUAGAUAUCAAGAGGAACACCUGAGGCGAAGGCGGGUUGCUAGGCUGACACUGACGCUGAGGCGCGAAAACCAGGGGAGCAAACGGG
rnacentral:rRNA from 1 species